rfam:Schistosoma mansoni strain Puerto Rico chromosome 1, complete genome
GCCGCCGACCAUACCACGUUGAAAGCACCGGUUCUCUUCUGAUCACCGCAGUUAAGCAACGUUGGGCCCGGUCAGUACUUACAUGGGUGGCCGGCUGGGAAUACUGCGUGUCGCUGGCU